rnacentral:rRNA from 1 species
CCUACGGUGUGCAGCAGUGGGGAAUAUUGGACAAUGGGGGGAACCCUGAUCCAGCGACGCCGCGUGAGUGAAGAAGUAUUUCGGUAUGUAAAGCUCUAUCAGCAGGGAAGAAAGAAAUGACGGUACCUGACUAAGAAGCCCCGGCUAACUACGUGCCAGCAGCCGCGGUAAUACGUAGGGGGCAAGCGUUAUCCGGAUUUACUGGGUGUAAAGGGAGCGUAGACGGCGAUGCAAGUCUGAUGUGAAAGCCCGCGGCCCAACCGCGGGACUGCAUUGGGAACUACCGGGCUGGAGUGCCGGAGAGGUAGGCGGAAUUCCUAGUGUAGCGGUGAAAUGCGUAGAUAUUAGGAGGAACACCAGUGGCGAAGGCGGCCUACUGGACGGUGACUGACGCUGAGGCUCGAAAGCGUGGGGAGCAAACAGGAUUAGAUACCCGGGUAGUC